UGGUGAUCUUCCAAGAACACUUGAGAGAGCAAUCUGUUUGGUAUGGAAGAAUGUAAAUCACUUCAAAUCUGUUAUAGGAAACUGCAUCAUCACGCAGCUGGUGUUAACAAAGCUAGCAUUGAUGCUAGGUAUCUUUGAGCAACUAGCGCUAGCAAUUCAGUGAACAUCGACGGUUACGUAUGUAACCACGGUUAUGUGAGCUAUUGGAUCACUCCAAUAUGGUUUCCUUCCACGUGGCAGGGUACAUUCUGAGUUAGAAUUUCAGAUUAGUACCGUGUACCGGGUAGUGCUGCGACUGACCACUGUAAAUAGCUGCCGUGCACUACUUCCACCUCGUGUCCUUUUCAAGGCACCAACAAAAAGGAUUGGAGUAAUCCAACAGAGCACAUAAACAGCCCAACUGGCCGAGGCGCAAAUAUCAUUGAGGGGGAACUCCUCAGAGCAGGGACCACGAUGUAGCUACUCCUCUAGUAGAAUGCACCACUAUGGCAGAGGUCAGAGGUCAUAGGUGAGAGGCCCACGAUGUAGCUACUCCUCUAGUAGAAUGCACCACUGCAGCAGAGGUCAGAGGUCAUAGGUGAGAGGCCCACGAUGUAGCUACUCGUCUAGUAGAAUGCACAACUACAGCAGAGGUCAGAGGCCCACGAUGUAGCUACUCUAGUAGAAUGCACCACUAGGAAGGUAGAAGCCGGCUGGCCUGCUGAUAUUGGGCCUGUAAGAGGAGCACCUCAGGAUGACUGCUGAGUCCAACCCUCUCUCAGUUUGGCCUUUGGGCCUGUAAGAGGAGCACCUCAGGAUGACUGCUGAGUCCAACCCUCUCUCAGUUUGGCCUUUGGGCCUGUAAGAGGAGCACCUCAGGAUGACUGCUGAGUCCAACCCUCUCUCAGUUUGGCCUUUGGGCCUGUAAGAGGAGCACCUCAGGAUGACUGCUGAGUCCAACCCUCUCUCAGUUUGGCCUUUGGGCCUGUAAGAGGAGCACCUCAGGAUGACUGCUGAGUUCCAACCCUCUCUCAGUUAUGGCCUUUGGGCCUGUAAGAGGAGCACCUCAGGAUGACUGCUGAGUUCCAACCCUUCUUAUCCGCAGUCCGCUGCCUGUGGGAGAAAAACCCUACUGGAUAAAGUAGUUUCUCUCUGUGGGAAGAAGAGAUGGUUAGUAUAUACCCUGCAGUAUUACAAAGGAUAUGACAACUCCAGCUACACACUGCGUAACACCUGCAGUGUCAUCUAGCUGUUAUGUGAGUUCCUAAGGGAAACUGGGAUAGUUACUGUCUGGACUGUAGUGUCAUCUAGCUGUUAUGUGUGUUUCUCAGGGAAACUGGGAUAGUUACUGUCUGGACUGUAGUGUAAUCGAGCUGUUAUGUGAGUUUCUAAGGGAAACUGGGAUAGUUACUGUCUGGACUGUAGUGUCAUCUAGCUGUUAUGUGUGUUUCUCAGGGAAACUGGGAUAGUUACUGUCUGGACUGUAGUGUAAUCGAGCUGUUAUGUGAGUUUCUAAGGGAAACUGGGAUAGUUACUGUCUGGACUGUAAAGUAGUGUAACAGAAAAACUAUUGAGCACCAACCCAGCUACACACUGUGUGGAAAACAGCAGUGUAAUAUCAAAUGUUGUUAGUCACAUGCGCCGAAUACAACAGGAGUAGUAGACCUUACAGUGAAAUGCUGAAUACAACAGGUGUAGUAGACCUUACAGUGAAAUGCUGACUACAACAGGUGUAGUAGACCUUACAGUGAAAUGCUGAAUACAACAGGUGUAGUAGACCUUACAGUGAAAUGCUGAAUUACAACAGGUGUAGUAGACCUUACAGUGAAAUGCUGAAUACAACAGGUGUAGUAGACCUUACAGUGAAAUGCUGACUACAACAGGUGUAGUAGACCUUACAGUAAAAUGCUGACUACAACAGGUGUAGUAGACCUUACAGUGAAAUGCUGAAUACAACAGGUGUAGUAGAACUUACAGUGAAACGCUGAAUACAACAGGUGUAGUAGACCUUACAGUGAAAUGCUGAAUACAACAGGUGUAGUAGACCUUACAGUGAAAUGGUGAAUACAACAGGUGUAGUAGACCUUACAGUGAAAUGCUGAAUACAACAGGUGUAGUAGACAUUACAGUGAAAUGCUGAAUACAACAGGUGUAGUAGACCUUACAGUGAAAUGCUGAAUACAACAGGUGUAGUAGACCUUACAGUGAAAUGCUGAAUACAACAGGUGUAGUAGACCUUACAGUGAAAUGCUGAAUACAACAGGUGUAGUAGACCUUACAGUGAAAUGCUGACUACAACAGGUGUAGUAGACCUUACAGUGAAAUGCUGAAUACAACAGGUGUAGUAGAACUUACAGUGAAAUGCUGAAUAGAACAGGUGUAGUAGACCUUACAGUGAAAUGCUGAAUACAACAGGUGUAGUAGACCUUACAGUGAAAUGCUGAAUACAACAGGUGUAGUAGACCUUACAGUGAAAUGCUGAAUACAACAGGUGUAGUAGACCUUACAGUGAAAUGCUGAAUACAACAGGUGUAGUAGACCUUACAGUGAAAUGCUGAAUACAACAGGUGUAGUAGAACUUACAGUGAAAUGCUGAAUACAACAGGUGUAGUAGACCUUACAGUGAAAUGCUGAAUACAACAGGUGUAGUAGACCUUACAGUGAAAUGCUGAAUACAACAGGUGUAGUAGACCUUACAGUGAAAUGCUGAAUUACAACAGGUGGAGUAGACCUUACAUUGAAAUGCUGAAUACAACAGGUGUAGUAGACCUUACAGUGAAAUGCUGAAUACAACAGGUGUAGUAGACCUUACAGUGAAAUGCUGAAUACAACAGGUGUAGUAGACCUUACAGUGAAAUGCUGAAUACAACAGGUGUAGUAGACCUUACAGUGAAAUGCUGAAUACAACAGGUGUAGUAGACAUUACAGUGAAAUGCUGAAUACAACAGGUGUAGUAGACCUUACAGUGAAAUGCUGAAUACAACAGGUGUAGUAGACCUUACAGUGAAAUGCUGAAUACAACAGGUGUAGUAGACCUUACAGUGAAAUGCUGAAUACAACAGGUGUAGUAGACCUUACAGUGAAAUGCUGAAUACAACAGGUGUAGUAGACCUUACCGUGAAAUGCUGAAUACAACAGGUGUAGUAGACCUUACAGUGAAAUGCUGAAUACAACAGGUGUAGUAGACCUUACCGUGAAAUGCUGAAUACAACAGGUGUAGUAGACCUUACAGUGAAAUGCUGAAUACAACAGGUGUAGUAGACCUUACAGUGAAAUGCUGAAUACAACAGGUGUAGUAGACCUUACCGAGAAAUGCUGAAUACAACAGGUGUAGUAGACCUUACAGUGAAAUGCUGAAUACAACAGGUGUAGUAGACCUUACAGUGAAAUGCUGAAUACAACAGGUGUAGUAGACCUUACAGUGAAAUGCUGAAUACAACAGGUGUAGUAGACCUUACAGUGAAAUGCUGAAUACAACAGGUGUAGUAGACCUUACAGUGAAAUGCUGAAUACAACAGGUGUAGUAGACCUUACAGUGAAAUGCUGAAUACAACAGGUGUAGUAGACCUGACAGUGAAAUGCUGAAUACAACAGGUGUAGUAGACCUUACAGUGAAAUGCUGAAUACAACAGGUGUAGUAGACCGUACAGUGAAAUGCUGAAUACAACAGGUGUAGUAGACCUUACAGUGAAAUGCUGAAUACAACAGGUGUAGUAGACCUUACAGUGAAAUGCUGAAUACAACAGGUGUAGUAGACAUUACAGUGAAAUGCUGAAUACAACAGGUGUAGUAGACCUUACAGUGAAAUGCUGAAUACAACAGGUGUAGUAGACCUUACAGUGAAAUGCUGAAUACAACAGGUGUAGUAGACCUGACAGUGAAAUGCUGAAUACAACAGGUGUAGUAGACCUUACAGUGAAAUGCUGAAUACAACAGGUGUAGUAGACCUUACAGUGAAAUGCUGAAUACAACAGGUGUAGUAGACCUUACAGUGAAAUGCUGAAUACAACAGGUGUAGUAGACCUUACAGUGAAAUGCUGAAUACAACAGGUGUAGUAGACAUUACAGUGAAAUGCUGAAUACAACAGGUGUAGUAGACCUUACAGUGAAAUGCUGAAUACAACAGGUGUAGUAGACCUUACAGUGAAAUGCUGAAUACAACAGGUGUAGUAGACCUUACAGUGAAAUGCUGAAUACAACAGGUGUAGUAGACCUUACAGUGAAAUGCUGAAUACAACAGGUGUAGUAGACCUGACAGUGAAAUGCUGAAUACAACAGGUGUAGUAGACCUUACAGUGAAAUGCUGAAUACAACAGGUGUAGUAGACCUGACAGUGAAAUGCUGAAUACAACAGGUGUAGUAGACCUUACAGUGAAAUGCUGAAUACAACAGGUGUAGUAAACCUUACAGUGAAAUGCUGAAUACAACAGGUGUAGUAGACAUUACAGUGAAAUGCUGAAUACAACAGGUAGACCUUACAGUGAAAUGCUGAAUACAACAGGUGUAGUAGACCUUACAGUGAAAUGCUGAAUACAACAGGUGUAGUAGACCUUACAGUGAAAUGCUGAAUACAACAGGUGUAGUAGACCUUACAGUGAAAUGCUGAAUACAACAGGUGUAGUAGACCUUACAGUGAAAUGCUGAAUACAACAGGUGUAGUAGACCUUACCGUGAAAUGCUGAAUACAACAGGUGUAGUAGACCUUACAGUGAAAUACUGAAUACAACAGGUGUAGUAGACAUUACUGACGAGCCUCUAACCAACAAUGCAGUUUAAAAAAAUACAGGUAAGAAUGUACAGGGGGUACCGAUACAUAGUCAAUGUACAGGGGGGUACCGAUACAUAGUCAAUGUACAGGGGGGUACCGAUACA